rnacentral:rRNA from 1 species
UACGAAGGGAGCUAGCGUUGUUCGGAAUCACUGGGCGUAAAGCGCACGUAGGCGGAUGUGUCAGUCAGGGGUGAAAUCCCGGAGCUCAACUUCGGAACUGCCUUUGAUACAGCACAUCUGGAGUCCGGAAGAGGUGGGUGGAAUUCCUAGUGUAGAGGUGAAAUUCGUAGAUAUUCGCAAGAACACCAGUGGCGAAGGCGGCUCACUGGCCCGAUACUGACGCUGAGGUGCGAAAGCGUGGGGAGCAAACAGG